rnacentral:rRNA from 1 species
AGUGAACGCUGGCGGUAGGCCUAACACAUGCAAGUCGAACGGCAGCACAGUAAGAGCUUGCUCUUACGGGUGGCGAGUGGCGGACGGGUGAGGAAUACAUCGGAAUCUACUUUUUCGUGGGGGAUAACGUAGGGAAACUUACUCUAAUACCGCAUACGACCUACGGUUGAAAGCAGGGGAUCUUCGGACCUUGCGCGAUUGAAUGAGCCGAUGUCGGAUUAGCUAGUUGGCGGGGUAAAGGCCCACCAAGGCGACGAUCCGUAGCUGGUCUGCGAGGAUGAUAAGCCACACUGGAACUGAGACACGGUCCAGACUCCUACGGGAGGCAGCAGUGGGGAAUAUUGGACAAUGGGCGCAAGCCUGAUCCAGCCAUACCGCGUGGGUGAAGAAGGCCUUCGGGUUGUAAAGCCCUUUUGUUGGGAAAGAAAAGCAGCAGGUUAAUACCCCGCUGUUCUGACGGUACCCAAAGAAUAAGCACUGGCUAACUUCGUG